AGUGAACGCUGGCGGUAGGCCUAACACAUGCCAGUCGAACGGCAGCACAGUAAGAGCUUGCUCUUACGGGUGGCGAGUGGCGGACGGGUGAGGAAUACAUCGGAAUCUACUUUUUCGUGGGGGAUAACGUAGGGAAACUUACGCUAAUACCGCAUACGACCUACGGGUGAAAGCAGGGGAUCUUCGGACCCUGCGCGAUUGAAUGAGCCGAUGUCGGAUUAGCUAGUUGGCGGGGUAAAGGCCCACCAAGGCGACGAUCCGUAGCUGGUCUGAGAGGAUGACCAGCCACACUGGAACUGAGACACGGUCCAGACUCCUACGGGAGGCAGCAGUGGGGAAUAUUGGACAAUGGGCGCAAGCCUGAUCCAGCCAUACCGCGUGGGUGAAGAAGGCCUUCGGGUUGUAAAGCCCUUUUGUUGGGAAAGAAAAGCAGCAGGUUAAUACCCCGCUGUUCUGACGGUACCCAAAGAAUAAGCACCGGCUAACUUCGUG
rnacentral:rRNA from 1 species